GAUGAACGCUGGCGGCGUGCCUAAUACAUGCAAGUCGAGCGAACAGACGAGGAGCUUGCUCCUCUGACGUUAGCGGCGGACGGGUGAGUAACACGUGGAUAACCUACCUAUAAGACUGGGAUAACUUCGGGAAACCGGAGCUAAUACCGGAUAAUAUAUUGAACCGCAUGGUUCAAUAGUGAAAGACGGUUUUGCUGUCACUUAUAGAUGGAUCCGCGCCGCAUUAGCUAGUUGGUAAGGUAACGGCUUACCAAGGCAAUGAUGCGUAGCCGACCUGAGAGGGUGAUCGGCCACACUGGAACUGAGACACGGUCCAGACUCCUACGGGAGGCAGCAGUAGGGAAUCUUCCGCAAUGGGCGAAAGCCUGACGGAACAACGCCGCGUGAGUGAUGAAGGUCUUCGGAUCGUAAAACUCUGUUAUUAGGGAAGAACAAAUGUGUAAGUAACUAUGCACGUCUUGACGGUACCUAAUCAGAAAGCCACGGCUAACUACGUG
rnacentral:rRNA from 1 species